GAUGAACGCUAGCGGCAGGCCUAAUACAUGCAAGUCGAACGGUGUAGCAAUACACAGUGGCGCACGGGUGCGUAACACGUAUGCAACCUACCUUACAUUGGAGGAUAGCCUUUCGAAAGGGAGAUUAAUACCGCAUAAGACAGUAACUAGGCAUCUAGUAGCUGUUAAAUAUUUAUCGAUGUAAGCUGGGCAUGCGUCCAGUUAGUUAGUUGGCGAGGUAAUGGCGUAUCAAGACGAGGAUGUGUAAGGGAACUGAGAGGUCAAGCCCCCACACUGGGCCUGAGAUACGGGCCAGACUCCUACGGGAGGCAGCAGUAGGGAAUAUUGGGCAAUGGGCGCAAGCCUGACCCAGCCAUGCCGCGUGCAGGAAGAAGGCGUUAUGCGUUGUAAACUGCUUUUAUACAGGAAGAAACGACCCUUGCGAGGGGCAUUGACGGUACUGUAUGAAUAAGCACCGGCUAACUCCGUGCCAGCAGCCGCGGUAAAAC
rnacentral:rRNA from 1 species